rnacentral:rRNA from 1 species
AUUGAACGCUGGCGGCAGGCUUAACACAUGCAAGUCGAGCGGAGCGAGGGUGCUUGCACCUUAGCUUAGCGGCGGACGGGUGAGUAAUGCUUAGGAAUCUGCCUAUUAGUGGGGGACAACAUUCCGGAAGGGAUGCUAAUACCGCAUACGCCCUACGGGGGAAAGCAGGGGAUCUUCGGACCCUGCGCUAAUAGAUGCGCCUAAGUCGGAUUAGCUAGUUGGUGGGGUAAAGGCCUACCAAGGCGACGAUGUGUAGCGGGUUUGAGAGGAUGAACCGCCACACUGGGAAUGAGAAACGGCCCAGACUCCUACGGGAGGCAGCAGUGGGGGAUAUUGGACAAUGGGCGGAAGCCUGAUCCAGCCAUGCCGGGUGUGUGAAGAAGGCCUUUUGGUUGUAAAGCGCUUUAAGCGAGGAGGAGGCUACUAGUAUUAAUACUACUGGAUAGUGGACGGUACUCGCAGAAUAAGCACCGGCUAACUAUGUGCCAGCCGCCGCAGUAA